CAUGCUUACACAUGCAAGUCGAGCGGCAGCGCGGGACUCAGGCAACUGAGCCUGGCGGCGAGCGGCGAACGGGUGAGUAAUGCAUCGGAACGUGUCCCGUAGUGGGGGAUAACGCCGCGAAAGCGGCGCUAAUACCGCAUACGCUCUACGGAGGAAAGCAGGGGACCUGCAAGGGCCUUGUGCUAGGGGAGCGGCCGAUGUCCGAUUAGCUUGUUGGUGGGGUAACGGCCCACCAAGGCAACGAUCGGUAGCUGGUCUGAGAGGAUGAUCAGCCACACUGGGACUGAGACACGGCCCAGACUCCUACGGGAGGCAGCAGUGGGGAAUUUUGGACAAUGGGGGCAACCCUGAUCCAGCCAUGCCGCGUGCGGGAAGAAGGCCUUCGGGUUGUAAACCGCUUUUAGCCGGGAAGAAAAGCCUACGGAUAACACCCGGAGGUUUUGACGGUACCGGCGGAAUAAGCACCGGCUAACUACGUGCCAGCAGCCGCGGUAAUACGUAGGGUGCGAGCGUUAAUCGGAAUUACUGGGCGUAAAGCGUGCGCAGGCGGUUCGUUGUGUCGGUGGUGAAAGCCCCGGGCUCAACCUGGGAAUGGCCAUGGAAACUGGCGAACUGGAGUGUGGCAGAGGGGGGUGGAAUUCCGCGUGUAGCAGUGAAAUG
rnacentral:rRNA from 1 species